GAUGAACGCUAGCGGCAGGCUUAACACAUGCAAGUCGAGGGGCAACACGGGUAGCAAUACCUGGUGGCGACCGGCGCAAGGGUGCGUAACGCGUGAGCAACAUGCCCUAUACAGGGGGAUAAUCCAGGGAAACUUGGUCUAAUAUCCCAUAGUAUUUAGAGGUGGCAUCACCACUAAAUUAAAGCUUCGGUGGUAUAGGAUUGGCUCGCGUGACAUUAGCUGGAUGGUGGGGUAACGGCUCACCAUGGCGAUGAUGUCUAGGGGUUCUGAGAGGAAGACCCCCCACACUGGGACUGAGACACGGCCCAGACUCCUACGGGAGGCAGCAGUGAGGAAUAUUGGACAAUGGAUGGAAAUCUGAUCCAGCCAUGCCGCGUGCAGGAAGACAGCCCUAUGGGUUGUAAACUGUCUUUUAUAUGGGAGCAAUAAGGUCUACGUGUAGACUGAUGAGAGUACCAUAUGAAUAAGCAUCGGA
rnacentral:rRNA from 1 species